rnacentral:rRNA from 1 species
UACAGAGGGUGCGAGCGUUAAUCGGAAUUACUGGGCGUAAAGGGAGCGUAGGCGGUAAGAUGUGUGUGAUGUGAAAGCCCCGGGCUCAACCUGGGAAGUGCAUCGCAAACUGUCUAACUAGAGUAUAUGAGAGGGUGGCGGAAUUUCCGGUGUAGCGGUGAAAUGCGUAGAUAUCGGAAGGAACGUCAAUGGCGAAGGCAGCCACCUGGCAUAAUACUGACGCUGAGGCUCGAAAGCGUGGGGAGCGAACAGG